GAGUUUGAUCAUGGCUCAGAUUGAACGCUGGCGGCAUGCCUUACACAUGCAAGUCGAACGGCAGCACGGGAGCUUGCUCCUGGUGGCGAGUGGCGAACGGGUGAGUAAUGCAUCGGAACGUAUCCUGGAGUGGGGGAUAACGUAGCGAAAGUUACGCUAAUACCGCAUAUUCUGUGAGCAGGAAAGCGGGGGACCUUCGGGCCUCGCGCUCUUGGAGCGGCCGAUGUCGGAUUAGCUAGUGUGAGGUAAAGGCUCACCAAGGCGACGAUCCGUAGCAGGUCUGAGAGGAU
rnacentral:rRNA from 1 species